rnacentral:lncRNA from 1 species
CCACCGUCAACCACGAAGGUACCCGACAGUCCGGAACAGUCUAUACACUACUGUAAAAAUAAACUCGGCAUCCCAACAUGAACGUAAAUUCAUUCUACACUAUUCUGGGCAUCUACUGCCUACAAACUGCAACGAUAGAAACAAACUACAGCUCCUAAAGUUAAAUAUGGUAGUUUUCAGAAAAUGACAGUGUAGAACCUAUAGUUUUCUCCUAAGUCAAAUCCAAGUCCAACAUGUAUAAUAAA